CCUACGGGUGGCAGCAGUAGGGAAUCUUGCUCAAUGGGCGAAACCCUGAUGCAGCAACGCCGCGUGGGGGAUGAAGGUUUUCGGCUUGUAAACUCCUUUUGGUAGAGAAGAUAAUGACGGUAUCUAACGAAUAAUCACCGGCUAACUCCGUGCCAGCAGCCGCGGUAAUACGGAGGGUGCAAGCGUUACUCGGAAUCACGGGGCGUAAAGAGCGCGGAGGCGGGAUAGCAAGUCAGAUGUGAAAUCCUAUGGCUUAACCAUAGAACUGCAUUUGAAACUGUUAUUCUAGAGUAUAGGAGAGGUAGGUGGAAUUCUUGGUGUAGGGGUAGAAUCCGUAGAGAUAAAGAGGAAUACUCAUUGCGAAGGCGACCUGCUAGAACAUAACUGACGCUGAUGCGCGAAAGCGUGGGGAGCGAACAGGAUUAGAUACCCGGGUAGUC
rnacentral:rRNA from 1 species